rnacentral:lncRNA from 1 species
CUUGCUAAGUCGCUUAAUUGCCCAGGCUGGGCUCAAAUUAGCAAUCCUCCUCCCUCAGCCUCCCAGAGCACCAGAAUUACCGUAAAGUCACACAUCACUACGCCCAGCUUUGUUUUGUUUUUCUGUACCGGGGAUCAAACUCAGGACCUUGUGCUUUCCAGUGUGCAACUCAGGGGAUCGCACACCUGUGAGAACCAGUGCUCAGAUCAGGAGGGUAAGGGCCAGAGUUGUGUGUGUCCAGUGCAUUCCCUGGAACCAACUACUGUUCCAGCGUCCACCACUAGUUUCAUCCAGCCGUUCUUCUAGGGGGUCUGCUGAGGACCAUUCCUUAGUGACCUUCACCAGGGACCUGCUCCUCGGCUUCUUUUCUGUUUUCCUUCAGCAGUGCCACUACUUUCUGGCUGCCAUAGUUCCAGUGUCCACACUCAUGGCCAGCCCUGCACAGAUCCUCCUGCAGCCUUCCGCUUUCUUCCUCCCGAGCUGUACAGCUUGCCCGGCACACAAGGCCAGGUCCUACCGCCUCACCAUGCAAGGCUGCUGUGACUGCCAGCGAUCCUGCAAGACCAGAGAAGGGGACGGCGUUCAGGGAUGCUUUCUCCUGGAAGCAGCUCCUCCCUCAAGCCCCAGCUGGGACCCUUUAUUCCUACUUCUGAGUCCCUGGGGGAGGGGAGGGUGGGGUGCUGGGCUUGUGUGUAUACCACAGGCUCUGUGUGUGUGUGUGUGUGUGUGUGUGUGUGUGUGUGUUUUGGAUCCAUGUAGAAGUGCAUGCAUGUGUAUAUCAGUGUCACACGUGUGUGCACGUGUAGGCAGACACACUCAUAGAAAAGCCUGUGGGCAAAUGUAAUGGGUGGUUGUUUUUUUUAUUUUUGGUACUGGGGAUCGAACUUGGGACCUUGCGCUGUUAGCAGCAGGCACCAGAACCACUGAGCUAAAUCCCCGGCCGUAACGGGUGUUUGUAAGUGUGCCGAGGGUGCACACGGUGCACACUUUGGUGCACAUGAUCACACAUGAGCCACACGGUGCUGAUGGGCCGUGGGGGACGUGCAGCAGCCGUGGCCUUGAGAGGACCCUGGACUUGGAGUCACAGGGCCAGCAGCCAGCCCAGGAACCCGGGUGCUGAGCCUUGUUUUACAACCUGGGGCCUCAGAUCCGAUCUGUUAAAUGGGCGUGAACUUUCGCGGCAGGAGAUCGUGGGUGGACAUCUCGCGCUCACCCUGGCCCCGGAAAAAUUCAGACUCUCUAGACCAGAAAGUAAAAAAAGAUGUAGCAAAUAGAAAUGUCUUACGGAGCAGCUCUCGGUGAGACGUCAGGACCGAGGGAGGUGCAUGGCAGAGGUGUUGGGAGGGAAGCCAGAGGCCAGCUCUUGGGGAGGAAGAGAGGAAAGGCCCAGGG